UUAAAGAAGUCCCGCAGGAGUGGCAUACUCUAAGCUAUAUGUUAACUUGUUUCUUUGAGACUACAACUGUUCAGAAUUAUUACUUAGCUAAGUCUUGAUUUGUGUCCUUGAAUUCAUUGAAGUGGGGGAUGUACCUACCAAAAAAUGCUUCAAUAAGCCAGCUGAAAGAAAGCUCUGGUGAAGAGCAUGAGCUACAAUCCAGUCCCCAAGGCAUUUCACGCCACUUGGCCAUCUAAGAAAACAGCAAAGAAGGAAGCUGGAUAGCCGAUUGGCUGGAUAGCCAUGCUCAAUGGACAGAGGAGGAGUUGUUCGUGUCUGCAGUAUACAACCAGACUUCUGGUACUUUUCUAUGCUUUGCUCACAUAUCAUGCUUUGCUCCUUUGUUGCAAGAACUUUUUGUGAUACCUCCAGCUCCCAGGUCAUAUAUCCUCUCAAACUUCAUUUUAUACCAUAACCUCAAGAGAAAGGAGACAAAUUUAUUCUUUUCAAGGAGAAAGAACUCAUCAAAUAAAGUUCUGGACCACAAAUCGUAAAGAAAGUUUCAACAGUUGAACCUUAAAAGUUCAUUGAAACAAAGACAAAGUAGGUAAGCAGUAAAUAUAUAUGAGUGUAUGCGUGCAUAUAUAAAUAUAUAUAUAUAUAUAGGACCUAAAUACUUUUUAAAAUUUUUGAAUAUCUGUUGGCACUGCAGAGUGACUAUUGAC
rnacentral:lncRNA from 1 species